rnacentral:lncRNA from 1 species
AUCUUCUCAAUUAGUUUCUGCCGAUUUUUGCUCUCCUCCAUAGCUGGGGUUUCUUCAACUUUCAAGCUUCAUAAUCAAGAAGAACGAAAUUCGGGAGUAGAUCGGGGAAAAGAAAAAGUAAAGGACUAAAUUGUAAAGUUUAGUCACAUUUUGUAUCAAGGUAAGUUACAGUAAAUAAAUGCAAUAUUCUUUUAUUUUACAUUAUUAUUGUCAAUUUCCAACAUUUAUAUAUUUAUGUUAUGAAAAUAUUUAAAGUUGAAUUUAAGGUGAAGUGACAGAAGAAAAGUGUUAGAAAGCCCCGGUUGAACCCUAGGAAUGUUAGGAUAUUAGGGUUGACAGGACAGAACAGAAAUGAGCCAUGUAAGUCUAUAUUAGAAAUAUGGCUUUGGAGACAGGAUUGAGCCAUGUAAGUCCAUAUUAUAUGUGGCAUUGGAGACAGGAAUAAUUCAUGUAAGUCCAUGUCAAAGACAUGGCAUUGGCAGGAUAUUGAAAGACAGGAAUGACCCUAGUAUCCUUAGUAUUCCGAGUGGUUCAACGGGUCAGGGUACGAGUUAUAUUACAGUGAAUUAACAGCAAAGGAAAAGUAGAUUAUAUUUAUGAAAAAGGAAAGGUCAGGUAAGAAAGAAGGUAAGGGAAUAAAGAAGAAGAUAGAAAUUGAGAAGUAAAGAAAUUUAUGAUGUUAGAUGAUAUUAUGCAUAAUUAUCCAUUAUGUUGAAUGUUGUGAUUUAUUUGCUUGUAAGCUUACUAAGCCUAGUGCUUAAUCUCUUUAUUUUUUUUUAUCUUAUAGUACUUAUCUAGCCACUCGGGGAUCGAAGGAAACGUCGGAGGCCGAUCACACUAUCAAAGAAAUAACUCGGUAUAAUUAGACGUUUUGUUUUGGGUAUGGCAUGUAUAGAAACUUAGCUACUUUUGGUAUAAUAUGAACAAUAAAUGAUGUGUAAAUACUUGCUAGUGAUUAGCUAAUAAAAUGGCCGAUGAUAUACAUGUU